CCUACGGGUGGCUGCAGUGGGGAAUUUUGCGCAAUGGGCGAAAGCCUGACGCAGCGACGCCGCGUGGGUGAUGAAGGCCUUCGGGUUGUAAAGCCCUGUGGGGAGGGAAGAAUAAGGGGCGGCUAAUACCCGCACCGAUGACGGUACCUCCUUAGCAAGCACCGGCUAACUCUGUGCCAGCAGCCGCGGUAAGACAGAGGGUGCAAACGUUGUUCGGAAUUACUGGGCGUAAAGCGCGUGUAGGCGGUCUAGCAAGUCGGAUGUGAAAGCCCUUGGCUCAACUGAGGAAGUGCAUUCGAAACUGCGAGACUUGAGUCCCGGAGAGGAUGGUGGAAUUCUCGGUGUAGAGGUGAAAUUCGUAGAUAUCGAGAGGAACACCGGUGGCGAAGGCGGCCAUCUGGACGGUGACUGACGCUGAGACGCGAAAGCGUGGGGAGCAAACAGGAUUAGAUACCCCUGUAGUC
rnacentral:rRNA from 1 species